UACGAGGAGGUACAGCUGUUGUGAAUUAUUGGGCGUAAAGGGCGCGUAGGCGGUGCCACAAGUCACCUGUGAAAUCUCCGGGCUUAACUCGGAGCCUGCAGGCGAAACUGUGGUGCUGGAGUGUGGGAGAGGUGCGUGGAAUUCCACGUGUAGCGGUGAAAUGCGUAGAGAUGUGGAGGAACACCAGUGGCGAAGGCGGCUUUCUGGUCUGUAACUGACGCUGAGGCGCGAAAGCGUGGGGAGCAAACAGG
rnacentral:rRNA from 1 species